GAUGAACGCUGGCGGCGUGCCUAAUACAUGCAAGUCGAACGAGUUCUCGUUGAUGAUCGGUGCUUGCACCGAGAUUCAACAUGGAACGAGUGGCGGACGGGUGAGUAACACGUGGGUAACCUGCCCUUAAGUGGGGGAUAACAUUUGGAAACAGAUGCUAAUACCGCAUAGAUCCAAGAACCGCAUGGUUCUUGGCUGAAAGAUGGCGUAAGCUAUCGCUUUUGGAUGGACCCGCGGCGUAUUAGCUAGUUGGUGAGGUAAUGGCUCACCAAGGCGAUGAUACGUAGCCGAACUGAGAGGUUGAUCGGCCACAUUGGGACUGAGACACGGCCCAAACUCCUACGGGAGGCAGCAGUAGGGAAUCUUCCACAAUGGACGCAAGUCUGAUGGAGCAACGCCGCGUGAGUGAAGAAGGCUUUCGGGUCGUAAAACUCUGUUGUUGGAGAAGAAGGUCGGCAGAGUAAC
rnacentral:rRNA from 2 species